rnacentral:lncRNA from 10 species
AACCCAACAGGGACUGAAAUCAUUGUUCCUUGAAACCAUCUGUCCAUAGGACUCUCAGAGAAGGGCCAAGAAAAUGACUGGAUUUGAAGGUCCUUCGCAGAGUAAACUGGAUUUCUUACAUGGAUGCUCAGGGUGCCAAGAGCAGGAAGCAGAAGUCGGCACAGUAACAAGCCUAUCUCUGGAACUGUCACAGCGCCACUUCCCCCAACUUCCAUUGAUCAAAGAAGCCACAGGGCAUGGCCAGAGGCAAGAGGGUAGAGAAAUAAACUCUACGUCUCACUGGGGACCUGGCAAGGUUACAUUGCUGAAGAGCAUGUGGGAUAGGGGUAUUGCUGCAGUUAUUUUUGGAGACUAAAGUCUACCAUAAAAGGUGUGAAGAGGGAUUACAGCAAACAACAGGGGAGCUGGCCCCAAUGAAGCCUCAAGGGACAAGGGGAGGAAGUGAUUCAAAGGACCCAGAAAGAAUGGCUGUAUGAAAACAGCCUCCUGAUACUAGCAGUGGCCUCUGGAAGAUGCAACCCAACAAGAAGGGAGCCGAGGAUGAAUUGCUCAACUUUGCACAUCUCCCUUUCAAAUCUCCUGCCAGUGACCCCCAAUGGUCAAGAGACCCCUUUGACUGGGUUCCUGCAGGGCAGCUCCAUGGAGCAAUGAGAAGGAUGGAGAAGGGCAAAGAGUAGAUCUAAGGAGGCAAACAGAAGACAUCCAACAUAUCAGUGGAUAACAAAAACAUCGAGGAUAUGUUAUCCAUGGGCAAGAAUAAGGUUUAGGACCAAAAUUACUCCUUUUGGGACUGGAAGGAAAACUGCCUACUUUUGAGCAGCUCGUAGGAUUUCUAAAUGCCCUGGUGUGUUGAGAGACAGUUCAAGCCUUGUUUUUUGGGGAAAAGUAGCUGCUACAGCUACUGAUCACUUUACCCAUAAGCACAGUCCAGCCAGCUCCCUCUGCGUCUCUCUAGCCUCAUUGUCCAUGACUCCCCUGUUACUCACCCUGCACCACCACUUUCUCUCAGGCCUCUAGCCCAUCAAGGCUUCAGCAUGCUAUUUUCACAGUUUGGAAUCUCUGUCCCCCCUUCUGCCCAAAACCUCAUCUUUCCAACUCAAAUUAAAUGCCACUUCUCCAGUGAAGACUCCUUUAACCCGUAUCCUCACUCCAAGCUAUUCUCCAUGCACUUUUCCUUUAUGGAACUUACUCUAAUAGCAAUUGAAAUAUUAAUUUCUAUAAUAAUUUGCUUCACGUCUAUCUGUGACACUAAACUCUAAGCUCCAUGACAGUGGAGUCUGUAUCUAUCUUCUUGACCCCUACAUCUGUAGGACAUAGAACGUUUAACCUGUAGUAGAUACUCAGUAAAUAUGUGUGAAUCCAUUACUGUAUGCAUCUGAUAGAAAAACCAGCAAUGGUUUCUGUAAAGGUCAUCUUUUUUAUUGAGAUGGAGUCUUGCUCUGUCGCCCAGGCUGGAGUGCAGUGGCGUGAUUUCAGCUCACUGCAAGCUCCAACUCCCAGGUUCAGGCCAUUCUCUUGCCUUAGCCUCCCGAGUAGCUGGGACAACAGGCACCCACCACCAUGCCCAGCUAAUUUUUUUGUAUUUUUAGUAGAGAUGGGGUUUCACCAUGUUAGCUAGGAUGGUCUCUAUCUCCUGACCUCG